rnacentral:rRNA from 1 species
AGAGUUUGAUCAUGGCUCAGGAUGAAUGCUAGCGGCAGGCUUAAUACAUGCAAGUCGUGGGGCAGCAUGGUGUAGCGAUACACUGAUGGCGACCGGCAAACGGGUGCGGAACACGUACGCAACCUUCCUUUAACUGGAGAAUAGCCCGGGGAAACCCGGAUUAAUACUCCGUAACAUUAUGAAGUGGCAUCACUUUAUAAUUAUAGCUCCGGCGGUUGAAGAUGGGCGUGCGUCUGAUUAGGUAGUUGGCGGGGUAACGGCCCACCAAGCCUACGAUCAGUAACUGGUGUGAGAGCACGACCAGUCACACGGGCACUGAGACACGGGCCCGACUCCUACGGGAGGCAGCAGUAAGGAAUAUUGGUCAAUGGACGCAAGUCUGAACCAGCCAUGCCGCGUGAAGGAUGAAGGUCCUCUGGAUUGUAAACUUCUUUUAUUUGGGAAGAAACCCAUGAUUUCUAUCGUGGUUGACGGUACCAGAUGAAUAAGCACCGGCUAACUCCGUGCCAGCAGCCGCGGUAAUACGGAGGGUGCAAGCGUUAUCCGGAUUCACUGGGUUUAAAGGGUGCGUAGGCGGGUUGGUAAGUCCGUGGUGAAAUCUCCAAGCUUAACUUGGAAACUGCCGUGGAUACUAUCAAUCUUGAAUAUAGUGGAGGUGAGCGGAAUAUGUCAUGUAGCGGUGAAAUGCUUAGAUAUGACAUAGAACACCCAUUGCGAAGGCAGCUCGCUACACUAUUAUUGACGCUGAGGCACGAAAGCGUGGGGAUCAAACAGGAUUAGAUACCCUAGUAGUCC